AUUAGUAUUGUCAUCUGAUAAAGUCAUGCCGAUUAUAAGAUACACAGUUUUUCUCUGCUUUCAAGUCUUUCUGUUUGAACCCGUCGAACUGAAACAAUAAUAUUAAUUAUUUGGAAAAGAAAAGGUCCUGGAAUGGAGUAUUUUUUAAUCAACAGCAUUGUCCUAUAUAAGUUAUAAAUAAAGUUGAAUUCUUUGCUUCGCUGUUUUACGUCAUGCCCAC
rnacentral:lncRNA from 1 species